CGUAACACAUGCAAGUCGAGCGGUAGAGAGAAGCUUGCUUCUCUUGGGAGCGGCGGACGGGUGAGUAAUGCCUAGGAAUCUGCCUGGUAGUGGGGGAUAACGCUCGGAAACGGACGCUAAUACCGCAUACGUCCUACGGGAGAAAGCAGGGGACCUUCGGGCCUUGCGCUAUCAGAUGAGCCUAGGUCGGAUUAGCUAGUUGGUGAGGUAAUGGCUCACCAAGGCGACGAUCCGUAACUGGUCUGAGAGGAUGAUCAGUCACACUGGAACUGAGACACGGUCCAGACUCCUACGGGAGGCAGCAGUGGGGAAUAUUGGACAAUGGGCGAAAGCCUGAUCCAGCCAUGCCGCGUGUGUGAAGAAGGUCUUCGGAUUGUAAAGCACUUUAAGUUGGGAGGAA
rnacentral:rRNA from 1 species